rnacentral:rRNA from 1 species
ACGGGUGCGUAACACGUGGAUAACCUUCCUUCAGGUGGGGAAUAACCCAGUGAAAAUUGGGCUAAUACCGCAUAACAUCGCGAUGGCACAUGCUGUUGCGUUCAAAGGCGCAAGUCGCCAGAAGAGGGAUCCGCGGCCGAUUAGCUUGUUGGCGAGGUAAUGGCUCACCAAGGCAUUGAUCGGUAGCCGGACUGAGAGGUUGGCCGGCCACACUGGAACUGAGACACGGUCCAGACUCCUACGGGAGGCAGCAGUGGGGAAUCUUGCACAAUGGACGAAAGUCUGAUGCAGCAACGCCGCGUGGGGGACGAAGCUUCUCGGAGUGUAAACCCCUUUCGACCCGGAAGAAAGCCCGCAAGGGUUUGACGGUACGGGUAUAAGAAGCCCCGGCUAACUACGUGCCAGCAGCCGCGG